AUAGCAUGAAUGGCCCCCGUUCUUCUGAUGCCUUCCUUUCUUUUUCCUGUUAUCUUCUACAUCCAGUACUGCAGUAAAGCUAAAGUCUACAGUGUGGCAGUAAGAGAAACAAAGCCAUAAUAAAAUGUUCUGAUAUCAAUGUUUAAUCUCCGUCCCUCUCAGAUGGCUAAUGAACAUUUUGGGAACAGCUGGACUUCCCAUUGUACCACGGAUUGUUCUGUGCAUGUAUAAACAAGAAUGUUUAAAUGCUAUAUCUAUUUAAGAAUACAUAGAUAUGUCUUGAUUCAACAAUUUUUGCAUGCUUAGAGUGUACCUUAUUUCUGAAUACACUGGAUCCCUAAUUAAUACAAAAUUCUUCUGGAUAGUAAAUUAAGAAUUAGAGA